UGUAAGGAAGCCUUCAGGAUUUUCAAGAAAAACAGCAACACUGAAAAAAGUUUAAAAGGGAAAACCAAGAAAUUAAAGAAGAGGGCUGAAUCCACUCAUACUGGAUGGAAGAAGAAAAGAUGACUUAUCUGCUGAGAAGCUUAUGAGUGGCUACAAGGUAAGAGAUGGUGAGAUUAUUUGCUGAGAAUGAAAGGAUUGUUGUCAGAGGCAGUGGGUAUAGGAUAAGAGACAGCAAGGAGGUAUUAAAAUCUCAUGGAGUGGAGUGGGAGAGGUAGG
rnacentral:lncRNA from 1 species